rnacentral:rRNA from 1 species
UACGUAGGAGGCAAGCGUUGUCCGGAAUUACUGGGCGUAAAGCGCGUGUAGGCGGUCUGAAUAGUCUGCUGUGAAAGCGCCUGGCUUAACCGGGCGAGGUCGGCGGAAACUCUCAGACUGGAGGCCGGUAGAGGGGGGUGGAAUUCCCGGUGUAGUGGUGAAAUGCGUAGAGAUCGGGAGGAACACCUGUGGCGAAGGCGGCCCCCUGGGCCGCGCCUGACGCUGAGACGCGAAGGCUAGGGGAGCGAACAGG